rnacentral:tRNA from 1 species
GGCGGAUGUAGCCAAGUGGAUCAAGGCAGUGGAUUGUGAAUCCACCCAUGCGCGAGGG